UACGUAGGGGGCUAGCGUUAUCCGGAUUACUGGGCGUAAAGGGUGCGUAGGCGGUCUUUCAAGCCAGAAGUGAAAGGCUACGGCUCAACCGUAGUAAGCUUUUGGAACUGUAGGACUUGAGUGCAGGAGAGGAGAGUGGAAUUCCUAGUGUAGCGGUGAAAUGCGUAGAGAUUAGGAAGAACACCAGUGGCGAAGGCGAUUCUCUGGACUGUAACUGACGCUGAGGCUCGAAAGCGUGGGGGAGCAAACAGGAUUAGAUACCCUGGUAGUCCCU
rnacentral:rRNA from 1 species